rnacentral:rRNA from 1 species
GUGGGGAAUAUUGGACAAUGGGGGGAACCCUGAUCCAGCCAUGCCGCGUGUGUGAAGAAGGCCUUUUGGUUGUAAAGCACUUUAAGCGAGGAGGAGGCUACCGAGAUUAAUACUCUUGGAUAGUGGACGUUACUCGCAGAAUAAGCACCGGCUAACUCUGUGCCAGCAGCCGCGGUAAUACAGAGGGUGCAAGCGUUAAUCGGAUUUACUGGGCGUAAAGCGCGCGUAGGUGGCCAAUUAAGUCAAAUGUGAAAUCCCCGAGCUUAACGUGGGAAUUGCAUUCGAUGCGGGUUGGCUAGAGUAUGGGAGAGGAUGGUAGAAUUCCAGGUGUAGCGGUGAAAUGCGUAGAGAUCUGGAGGAAUACCGAUGGCGAAGGCAGCCAUCUGGCCUAAUACUGACACUGAGGUGCGAAAGCAUGGGGAGCAAACAGGAUUAGAAACCCGGGUAGUCC